UUUUUCUGGUGAAUUUCCUUGAAAAUAGCUCAAAAAAAGAAGUUUUUUUGAGCUAUUUUCAAAGAAAUUCACCAGAAAAA